AGCCUUCACUCGGUUGGAGCCUGAGGCGCCGAGAGGAUGGGAGUCCCAGGCUCCCGCCUUGGCAUCCGUCGUCGUCUCAGGAGGAGGAAGAAGGCAAGGAAGCCAGGGUGAGACUUUGCUUGAGUCAAGCCAUAUACAAGAUCAGCAGGCUACAAUGCGAAGGAGAAAACAACCAGCCAGGUGACUCAUGGACCACAAAUGCAAGGAAAAGAGGAAGAAGGUGCUUCUGGUUGGCCUCCAUUUGCAACUGAAAGGCUGCUGCCAAUUACUCAGAUGUCCUAAUGCAGAUUAGCAAUGGAGAACAGAGAAGAAAGAUACCACAGAUCCCAGACGAACACUGCGCUACAUGGACAGCUGUUCAU